GCUCUAUUCCAGAAGCAGUCUGGAGCACAAAGAAUCCCUAAUCACUGACAUUAAGAAAGAAGAAAAAUAUUCCUAGGACGAUCCUGGAGAGCAAAGGUCAUCAGCAGUCACUUGACUUUCCUUGGAUUUCUCAACUGCAGUAGUCACAUGGUCUGCUGAAAAUGAAUUCUCUUUAUUUUCAUCUGAUUUCAAGGAAUUAUGGUUUUCAGUGAUUUCUUCAUUUGGAUCUAUUUUGAGACAGAGUAAUAGCAUUAAAACCCCCUUCUGAAUUAAUAAGGCAUUUGUUGCUGAAACGCAAAGUGUGACAAGCCAAUGGAGGCCAAGAUUUGAUUUUGAUAGCUCUUCCUACAAUUAUCCUUUGAAGGAAAGCAUAAAGAAGACAGAGAAAGAAGAGACACAGACAUGCAGAGAAAACACAGGGAAGAAGGCCACAUGGGAUGAAGGCAGAGAAGGGAAUGAUGCAGCUACAAGCCAGCUACAAGCCAAGGAAUGCCAUGGACUGCUGGCAACCACUAGAAAGAAGC
rnacentral:lncRNA from 1 species